rnacentral:misc_RNA from 1 species
UGGCAGUCUCACAGAAAUAAAGCUUUCCUUAAAGGUCUAUAGCUGCAGGCAUGUGAAAAUAAUCAUCAUCAUCAUCAUGGAUUUGGCAAAUUGAAUAUGGGAAAUGAGAUGGGCAACAAUAACACUUCUGGAUUGCGAGAAGAGGAUAACACAACCCCUGGAGCUCAGGGGAAAUCUUUGGAAGAACCUUUUCAUAAUGGUGAAGUAAAAGGAGAAAAUUAUGCGGUUCCGACGACUGGAAGUAAAGAUUAUAAUCGGAAAGAGACAGGGUUAGCCUCUGAUGAUCCAACGGAAGCAGGAGAACCUCCUGUUGAUAACCAGAUAUCCGAUGGAACAGAAGCUGAAAAGAAAUCAAAUGAAGAAGGUGGCAACGAUAGAGAUAUUCAACGUGCAGUCUCUUUGCCGAUGGAAUUGGAAGAUCACAAGAACCCAACAUUGUCGGAGAAUGUUUUGGAAAUAAGCAAUAAUCAGAUUGAGAAGCAGAGUUCCUUCAAGAAAGAGACAGAGAAUAUUCCAAAACCAAUUUCUGUUGCAAUAUCCUCAGCAGGUGAUAUGGAAUCUGAAGAUUCUGCGGAACCAAAUUCUGAUCAACAUGAAUAUACAAAAGUUGAUGCUCAUCAACAAGAAGAUAGAAAUGAUUCACUGAGAGGAAUUGCUGAUGUCCUAGGAUCAAGUACUGCAUACAAUAGCAAAGAGACUGGUCACCAGUUAGAUACAUACAUAUCUGACAACCUGGAAGGAACUAUUGUUUCUGGUACUAAUGUAGAUGUGGAGAGAAAAAGGAAUGAGUUGCUAGUGAAAGAAAUGGCAUCUCAGGAAAAUGAGAAGCCCGGCAAAUAUGAAUUUGAAGAUGUUGGAAAUGAGGAUGGGAAUAUUUUUGGCAAAAUUAUAAUGGUUUCGUCAGAUCUUCUAUGUGACGUUGGAGAGAAAUAUGAUGGCGAAUUAGCCAGUAAGAAGAAUUGUAAUGGUAUUCUUUCCUUGGAGUCAAAACUAGAAGCCAAUUUGGUGGCUGAUUCACUAAACUCCCAUUUAGAAGUCUCCCCACCUGAAGACAAAUGUAUGGUUUUCUCUCACGAGACUAAAUUAAUAGGAAAAGAAUUGACAAGUGAAGAAAACAAGGCAAAUGCAUCGCAAACUGAUUCUUUGACAGGGCUUAACUGCAAGAACAUUGAGAUAGGUGGUUCUCUUAUUACUGCUCAUCAUGCUGCUGGCAAUGGAAACUGCGAAACUGAAGAAGUGAAGGUUGUUGAGGAAUCUGACAACCAGAAUGAGGCUUCUGAAGAAAAUUGCAAGGGUUCUGAAGGAAAGAUAGCACAUGAGCUUGGCAUAUUUGCAGCCCAGUCAUCCAUUGCAAAUACCAAAAGCAAUGAAGAGGAAUCAGGAGAUUGCCUACCUGAGGCAUAUACUACUCAUGAUGCUGCUAACAAUGGGAACUGCCAAGUUGAGGAGGUGAAGGUUGUUGAGGAUUCUGACGAACAAAAGGAGGCUCCUGAAGAAAAUUUUGAGGAAUUUGAAGGAAAGAUUGGGAUGAUUCAUGAACUUGGAAUAAUUGCGGGCAAGUCAUCCCUUGCAAAUAGAAAAAUAAAUGAAGAGGAAUCAGGAGUUAACAAAACUGAUGAGGCAUAUGAAGAAAAGAUAAUGUUUCCUGAAUUGGCAACAGUUGCAGCAGAAUUGCCAGUCACAAAAAAUGAAGAGGAAGCAGUAGAUUGCAAAGCCGAGGAAGACGAAGCUGCAGAGAAGCAAAUUGUGGAGACAAAGGAGAAAACAGAAGCUCCAUGUGCACCAGUAGAAGAGCAUAUGUCGUGUACUUCAGCAUCUCUAUUCCAAUCUGAGCAUCAACAACAGGAAACUGUUAAGAAAUCUGAGGAUGUCCAAGAUAGCACUGAGUCAACAUUGGAACCGAAACCUGAGAGCAGCAGUGAGUUCAUUGCUACAGCAUCUUCCAACUUCCAUUCCUUGGUCUCUGCAGUUGAGAAACCUGUGGAAGAAGUUUUGCCCCAUGUCACAGCAGGCCCUGAGAUGGUUACAGAAACUAUAUCUUCAGCUUCAGCAAAUCAUUCCAGUGAGCAACAUGAAAAAAAUGAUACAUAUGCCUUUGCAAGGGAUGGUAUUGAGGCACAAGAAAACGCAGAGAGGGUGAACACUGAACCAAUUCCUGAAAACUUGAUUCAAGCAGAGGUGGAAAAAUCUCCAAGUUCAACUGUAGAAAGCACAGCCUCUGUUGUGCAGUUAGGAAUGGAGAAACCACAACAAGAAUCUCCACAUUACAACACAACAGUUCUGGAGGGAGUGGCACAGGCCGCACAAGCCGAAUCAUCAGCUUCAGCAAGUCAGUCAAGUGAACAAUGUGCCAAGGUGGAAACAUCACUCCUCGCAAUGGGCGGUUAUGAGCCUCAGGAAACUGCAGGAAUGUUCAGCACUCAAUCAAUUCCUGAUAACUUGAACAUUCAUGCAGAGAUGCGGAAAUCUCCAAGCUUCAAUCUUGAUCUCCGAAGAGAAGCAAGGAGUGAAGAAUCUGAUCAGACUCCACUGCUUUAUCAGGAUAAGAAUGCGGUUGAAGACUUGUCAAGGCAGGCAGAUGUAAGCCUUCGGAACUCACUUCCACAAGCUCAAUAUGGUCAAGAAUCAUUCAAGUAUGACGCAAUGCCAAUGGAAGAGAAAGUGAUUACUCUGGAAAGAAGUGAUUCUGAGAAGUCAAGAACACCAUUCCUAGGCUUCCUGAAAGAAGAUGAGGAGGCUCAUGUUGUAGUUAUACCAAAGAAAAAAGAGGACCACGGUGCUGCAAAAAAGACAACCAAGGAUUCUUGGAACUCGUCUUCUGCUAAAGAAAUCUCGUCAACGCCUCCAAAAAAUAAAGAGAAGCACAAGCGCAGGUCAUCCCUCUUCACAAACUGCAUGUGUUGCACAACUGUGAUUAAUUAAACAGCUUAAGAUCUAAGUUACCAGUUUUACAGUUUGGCAUUUUGAAUUUGUUUCGGUUGGCUUCCCUUUCCAAUUCCAAGUUUUCAAGAAGUGGAUAGACUGUUGAUUGGUUUAGCAUAUUUGAGAGAAACCAAGAAAGAGCGAGUAUAACUUCUGUAACUGUGAUUAAUUGCUUUAUGUUAUUUCCUGUCUAUACUUGUUCUAAACUUCUACAGCCCUGCAUUGUAUUUUGAUGCAAUUUCUUAUUAGUUGAAUCUCUUGAUGUAUAAUUUAUUUUGUUGUUUGCUGGAGACAUAUUGGAAGUUCUGCAGAAUAUAUUGUAAAAAAUGGGCAGCUUUUGCUGCCUUUGAUUGUAUCAUUUGUUUAUUCCAUUGAAAAUACAAUGUCACUUGAG